rnacentral:rRNA from 1 species
UACGGAGGGUGCAAGCGUUAUCCGGAUUCACUGGGUUUAAAGGGUGCGUAGGUGGGCAGGUAAGUCAGUGGUGAAAUCUCCGAGCUUAACUCGGAAACUGCCGUUGAUACUAUUUGUCUUGAAUAUUGUGGAGGUAAGCGGAAUAUGUCAUGUAGCGGUGAAAUGCUUAGAUAUGACAUAGAACACCAAUUGCGAAGGCAGCUUGCUAAACAAACAUUGACGCUGAGGCACGAAAGCGUGGGGAUCAAACAGG